rnacentral:rRNA from 1 species
AAAGAUUUAUCGGUGAUGGAUGGGGAUGCGUCUGAUUAGCUUGUUGGCGGGGUAACGGCCCACCAAGGCGACGAUCAGUAGGGGUUCUGAGAGGAAGGUCCCCCACAUUGGAACUGAGACACGGUCCAAACUCCUACGGGAGGCAGCAGUGAGGAAUAUUGGUCAAUGGGCGAGAGCCUGAACCAGCCAAGUAGCGUGAAGGAUGAAGGUCCUACGGAUUGUAAACUUCUUUUAUACGGGAAUAAAGUAUCCUACGUGUAGGAUUUUGUAUGUACCGUAUGAAUAAGCAUCGGCUAACUCCGUG